UGAAAUGGAGUUGAUGACGUAGUUGUGAU
rnacentral:piRNA from 1 species